rnacentral:lncRNA from 1 species
GUACUUCUUCUCAUUACAUGAUUUUAUGUUUUUCUUUUCUUCUUUCAGAAACGAAAUAUCAAGACAAAUAUUUGGCUCAUUUCAUUUCCAAUCAUCCUGUGUUUAUUGACUCUCGUCCUCAAAAGAUUGUCGGACCAGAUAUGGGAUGAACCCGCUGAGUGUGGCUGUAGUAAAGAGGCAGGGUGUUACUAUGAAUUUGCUUUCAAUGGAGGUAUCCGUUGUGCGUUUCCUAACCCUCCAGAAUGGCCUCCAUUGUUUCAAAUACCUGCUCCUGAAUAUCGCGCUGUGAGAAGUGAGGUUGUUCCUUUUACAGAUUUGCCAGAUGAGUCAUGCAGGACCCAAGAGUCCUGCCCUGCAGCUCUACUUUUCACAGGAAAUAAUCAAACACUUGGCUCAAGUGUGCUCUCUCUCCUUUCUGUGUGUUUGUUUUGUAAUGCUAGUUUGUUCUUUUUGUGUUUUGGGUAUUUGAACUGAUGGGAUGCUAUGCUGACAAUAAAUAUUUUUGUUUGUUUAAUCGUGUAUGUUGUGAUAGUUUUGGCUGGGAAUAGAUCCCCAGGGCUUUCAGUAGAAAGUCUUUAGCAGAUGAUGCUUUUGUAAGUUGUCUUUCUUCUUCUUUGCUCUGCCUUCUUAGGUUUAUGACUAAUUAUCCGUU